AGAUUUAAUUCCCUUAAACCUGAUUAUACUUAAUACAAAGAGAAUUUCCCUAAAGUUGUUUGUGUGUUGGGAACACAAGGGUUGCUAAACCUGAUCAGAUCUAUCAUGCUACUAAUCCAGUUGCCUGAAGCCGGAUUCUCAGAUGAUGUAAAUAAGCAUAUUUCCAGCUGUUUCAGAGAGAGGUUGAAAACUAGAAGUUGCAUCAAAAAAUGGGAAGGUACCAUGGAUGGAUUCUUGGAGGCCAGUCCUGGGGCUGUGAGGAGACUGGGAUUUGUUGUUCGCUUCCCUGACACCGGAAACAACAAAAUCACAAGUCUUCCAGACCGACCCAGAAACGAGCGUCGCGAGGAUCUGGAAUGAGAAGCAUCUUCCCCUUGCGAAGAUCUCCCCGGGUCACUUGGCUCAGGGACAUCACAUUAACGAGAAGCUGAAAGAGACACAGAGAAUGGGAGCCGUGUUCCAUAAAGGCUGCUUUUAUUAGUGGUUCUGACCCAGGCAGCUGGUUCCUGGUUCUCCCAGUGCCUGGUGGUAAGGAGACAGCUUGAGACCCUGGGCUUUUAGUCUCAUUUUUACGAAGGCCCUUUUUACACCACUCUAGCAGUAAGAUGCAUGCAAAUUAAUUUCUAAAUAGACCUUACAAGGCUUUACUGUGAGAAUCAGCUCCUAUCCCCUCUAGGUGGGAGCCCCUCGCAAAGAGCUUGGUCUACAGGUAUCCUCCCCAUGGUGGUGAAGUUAAGAGAUUCUUACUUAAGAGUUUGUCCACCUUGAUCGUCCUCAUGGGCUCUGAGGGAAUAAGUGCGUUGAGAUCCUCAGAGGAAAUGUCCUAGCGAAGGACAAAAUCAUUAUCAGAGAAGAAAUCCAAGCCCUCUGCUCCAGAAAGUCUGAUGCCCCUCUGUCACAGCACCCAGGUUUCAAAUACUCCUGUGGUUAGGAGUAUUCUGCAUAGGUGAGAUCUGUUCUGUGGAUUGGAACGGCAAAUCUAGACUCAGUUUCAGACCCUGGGUGCCCUCAAGUUUGAACGUGGGGUUCCUGUUUGGGAUAAUUUCAGACCCUCCCUGAGGUGUUUGUUCUUUGAUCAUUGAGAACCCACCCCACACACAGGAAGUGAAGUGUUAUCAGCAAAUCCUCUUGAUCCCUUUAUUUGGGACCCAGGGAAGAACAUGCUGCCGUUCUCUGCACAGAGACCUUGGCCUUCUUCUGUUGCCAAGGCAACCACCACAAUCAAAAUGGCCUCGCCUGUCUUGCUCCGUCUUCUUGUGCUGCCUGGCGGCCAGUUUCCUAGGGUGGAGAGAUAAUGGUGCUUGUUGGUGGGGGGGUGGGUAGACUCUGGGUCCCUAAGCCCCUCUUGGCACCAUGGAGGGCCGGGGCUCACCCAGAACGUUUGCGAUUGGAGAUCUCAGCCUGGGGCAGCCCUGGUUUGAAGAGAGGGGGCGAAAUACCCAAGAGCUAGAUUAGGUCUCUCCGCCUUUGCGGGCGGAAGUACAAGAACCCCAGCCCUGAUGAUGGGCCUUUUACAUUUCGCCCCAAAACCCAGCCAAGCCCUGGUAUUUAUGCUAAAUCGGUGUGAGCUAUUUCAUGGGUUGUUCUGAGCUAACGGACUGAACACCAGGCAGGGACAGGAAAAUGGAAGCUGCUUGGCUCCAAUUUUUUAAAAAUAUUUAACGGAA